rnacentral:rRNA from 1 species
ACGAGUUUGAUCAUGGCUCAGGAUGAACGCUAGCGGCAGGCUUAAUACAUGCAAGUCGAGGGGCAGCACGGUUAGCAAUAACUGGUGGCGACCGGCGCACGGGUGCGUAACACGUAUACAAUCUACCUUAAACAGGGGGAUAGCCUUUCGAAAGAGAGAUUAAUACCCCGUAAUAAAUUGAACGGCAUCGUUUGAUUUUGAAAGCUCCGGCGGUUUGAGAUGAGUAUGCGUCUGAUUAGCUAGUUGGUGAGGUAACGGCUCACCAAGGCGACGAUCAGUAGGGGAUCUGAGAGGACUAACCCCCACACUGGUACUGAGACACGGACCAGACUCCUACGGGAGGCAGCAGUAAGGAAUAUUGGUCAAUGGGGGCAAUCCUGAACCAGCCAUGCCGCGUGCAGGAUGACGGCCCUAUGGGUUGUAAACUGCUUUUAUACCAGAGAAAACCCGAGUACGUAUACUCGGUUGAUAGUAUGGUAAGAAUAGGCAUCGGCUAACUUCGUG